rnacentral:tRNA from 1 species
GAGAAAGUCAUAGUUGUUAUGAUGUUGGCUUGAAACCAAUUUUAGAGGGUUCGAAUCCUUCCUUUCUUA